rnacentral:rRNA from 1 species
GUUAGCGGCGGACGGGUGAGUAACACGUGGGCAACCUGCCUGUAAGACUGGGAUAACUUCGGGAAACCGGAGCUAAUACCGGAUAAUCCUUUUCCUCUCAUGAGGAAAAGCUGAAAGACGGUUUACGCUGUCACUUACAGAUGGGCCCGCGGCGCAUUAGCUAGUUGGUGAGGUAACGGCUCACCAAGGCAACGAUGCGUAGCCGACCUGAGAGGGUGAUCGGCCACACUGGGACUGAGACACGGCCCAGACUCCUACGGGAGGCAGCAGUAGGGAAUCUUCCGCAAUGGACGAAAGUCUGACGGAGCAACGCCGCGUGAGUGAUGAAGGUUUUCGGAUCGUAAAACUCUGUUGUUAGGGAAGAACAAGUACAAGAGUAACUGCUUGUACCUUGACGGUACCUAACCAGAAAGCCACGGCUAACUACGUGCCAGCAGCCGCGGUAAUACGUAGGUGGCAAGCGUUGUCCGGAAUUAUUGGGCGUAAAGCGCGCGCAGGCGGUCCUUUAAGUCUGAUGUGAAAGCCCACGGCUCAACCGUGGAGGGUCAUUGGAAACUGGGGGACUUGAGUGCAGAAGAGAAGAGUGGAAUUCCACGUGUAGCGGUGAAAUGCGUAGAGAUGUGGAGGAACACCAGUGGCGAAGGCGACUCUUUGGUCUGUAACUGACGCUGAGGCGCGAAAGCGUGGGGGAGCAAACAGGAUUAGAUACCCUGGUAGUCCACGCCGUAAACGAUGAGUGCUAAGUGUUAGAGGGUUU